rnacentral:rRNA from 1 species
CCCGUAACGAGCGCAACCCUUGUCCUUAGUUACCAGCACGUUAUGGUGGGCACUCUAAGGAGACUGCCGGUGACAAACCGGAGGAAGGUGGGGAUGACGUCAAGUCAUCAUGGCCCUUACGGCCUGGGCUACACACGUGCUACAAUGGUCGGUACAGAGGGUUGCCAAGCCGCGAGGUGGAGCUAAUCCCACAAAACCGAUCGUAGUCCGGAUCGCAGUCUGCAACUCGACUGCGUGAAGUCGGAAUCGCUAGUAAUCGCGAAUCAGAAUGUCGCGGUGAAUA